GAGAGUUGACUUUUGUUGACUUUUUCAAUAAUGACCUAACUGAAUCUUUUGCAAUCGUGGAUAAUUCCUAAGGCCUAUUUUGAACCAUUUGGUUGGUAAUUUGCUAGAUUUUGUUGGUUCAGAAACUUGUUUGAAAGGCAAUGUUGUGGUUGAGCUUUGAAUAGAUCCUUGAAGUAAGGUAAGUGUCGUGGUUAAUCUUGACUUGAGGGAUUAGGACUUGUUUGCCUAUUUGCUACAAGUUUAGAUGUUAGGUACAACGUACAUGUGAUGUGACGACUACUUAUGUGUUGUUGUUUGGUUAAAGCAUGCGGGUAGGACUUGUUCCUUAUAAUUUAUUGCUUACUUUGAUCAUGUUAUCUACGCUUAGACUAGUUACUUACUAUGUUGAUCGUUCUUGCCACGUUUAUGGGCUUUUGUGAUAAUUUAUUAUUGUUUCUAAAUUUGAGAUUGGUAUUGUGGAACCACUGUUGAAAUAAGG
rnacentral:lncRNA from 1 species